GGGGCUGACUUGGAUUUCGACAGAUUUCUUGUCGCACAGACAGCAUGCCAAGCGCUACUUGUAAAACAGCAACGAAAAUAACUGUAAACAACACAGAUUACGCUCCAGCUUACGCUAAAGCUGCGUGAGUUAAUCUCCUUUUGGAGCUGGACUGAUUAGAAUUUCUAGCGUUUUAAUCACUCCAUAACCUUAAGCUAGACGCUUUUAAAAGGUGGUUCGCCUUUUAAACUAAGAAACAAGAACUCUUGAAACUACCUCAAGGUUUUAGAAAGUUGGACCAGAGCUAGUUUUAAGGCUAAAAAACUAACCAAUUUUCUAAGCAUUGUAGAAGUUUGUGUUUAGGGCAAGAUUUUUGGACUGGGGUUCGAUUCCCCACAGCUCCACCA
rnacentral:tmRNA from 2 species